GUAGGUGAACCUGCGGAAGGAUCAUUAACACGUAUCCAACGUUAAAACCCCCGUGCAUAUUAACCCUGCUCUCCUUCACCUCUAGAAGCAAUCUCUGGUAAAUCAUUUCACGAAGAUAGAUUGAUUCAGAGACCUCUUCGGUGGCGUGAUUGGAUAGAUGCGGUAGAGCAAUUAGACCUGGUUUCCGAAAGGAUAACUGAUACUUACUCAGAUCGUUGAUCAUCACGAUUAACGGACAGGUCUCUGGGGC
rnacentral:misc_RNA from 1 species